GAUGAACGCUGGCGGCGUGCCUAAUACAUGCAAGUCGAGCGAACGGACGAGAAGCUUGCUUCUCUGAUGUUAGCGGCGGACGGGUGAGUAACACGUGGAUAACCUACCUAUAAGACUGGGAUAACUUCGGGAAACCGGAGCUAAUACCGGAUAAUAUUUUGAACCGCAUGGUUCAAAAGUGAAAGACGGUCUUGCUGUCACUUAUAGAUGGAUCCGCGCUGCAUUAGCUAGUUGGUAAGGUAACGGCUUACCAAGGCAACGAUGCAUAGCCGACCUGAGAGGGUGAUCGGCCACACUGGAACUGAGACACGGUCCAGACUCCUACGGGAGGCAGCAGUAGGGAAUCCUCCGCAAUGGGCGAAAGCCUGACGGAGCAACGCCGCGUGAGUGAUGAAGGUCUUCGGAUCGUAAAACUCUGUUAUUAGGGAAGAACAUAUGUGUAAGUAACUGUGCACAUCUUGACGGUACCUAAUCAGAAAGCCACGGCUAACUACGUGCCAGCAGCCGCGGUAAUACGUAGGUGGCAAGCGUUAUCCGGAAUUAUUGGGCGUAAAGCGCGCGUAGGCGGUUUUUUAAGUCUGAUGUGAAAGCCCACGGCUCAACCGUGGAGGGUCAUUGGAAACUGGAAAACUUGAGUGCAGAAGAGGAAAGUGGAAUUCCAUGUGUAGCGGUGAAAUGCGCAGAGAUAUGGAGGAACACCAGUGGCGAAGGCGACUUUCUGGUCUGUAACUGACGCUGAUGUGCGAAAGCGUGGGGAUCAAACAGGAUUAGAUACCCUGGUAGUCCACGCCGUAAACGAUGAGUGCUAAGUGUUAGGGGGUUUCCGCCCCUUAGUGCUGCAGCUAACGCAUUAAGCACUCCGCCUGGGGAGUACGACCGCAAGGUUGAAACUCAAAGGAAUUGACGGGGACCCGCACAAGCGGUGGAGCAUGUGGUUUAAUUCGAAGCAACGCGAAGAACCUUACCAAAUCUUGACAUCCUUUGACAACUCUAGAGAUAGAGCCUUCCCCUUCGGGGGACAAAGUGACAGGUGGUGCAUGGUUGUCGUCAGCUCGUGUCGUGAGAUGUUGGGUUAAGUCCCGCAACGAGCGCAACCCUUAAGCUUAGUUGCCAUCAUUAAGUUGGGCACUCUAAGUUGACUGCCGGUGACAAACCGGAGGAAGGUGGGGAUGACGUCAAAUCAUCAUGCCCCUUAUGAUUUGGGCUACACACGUGCUACAAUGGACAAUACAAAGGGCAGCGAAACCGCGAGGUCAAGCAAAUCCCAUAAAGUUGUUCUCAGUUCGGAUUGUAGUCUGCAACUCGACUACAUGAAGCUGGAAUCGCUAGUAAUCGUAGAUCAGCGUGCUACGGUGAAUACGUUCCCGGGUCU
rnacentral:rRNA from 1 species